UUGUUUUUCUUUAAUUAAUCUUCUAAUGGUUUCCUUUUUUUUUGACGUGAGUAAGUUUUGGUAUCUUUAAGGCUUUGCAUUGGUUUUGUGAAGUGUAGAAAAUAAAAAUAUAAAAUAAGAGUUGACUCUUUUUUGUUCCACAUUUGGUGGUUGGUUGUAAGGUAAUGCAAAGGUCUAAGGUUGUUUAUGUUUAGGAAAUAAAGUUUUUUUAACUCUGUUGAAUUGUGUGGCCCAUGAAUGAUUUCUUAAUUAUUGCAUUUAGCAUCUACCUUUUUGAUGCCAUCAUAUGUGUGUGUACAAUUUGCUUUGCCAAGUCACAGAAAGAAAUUGAACUUUUUAGCUCAUUGGUUUCUGAAACUACUGCUUUGGUUUAUGCUACAGGGCAGGAAGUGGUCGUUUAAGUGCAUCUGGAGGUGAUGGUUAUGCUGGCGGAGGUGGUGGACGGGUAUCCGUUCAUAUAUACAGCCGCCAUUCUGACCCAGAAAUCUUUUUCCACGGUUAGCUUCAGUUUGGUCUUUCAAUCAUUCCCUAAACUUUUGCUUGACAAUUGAUAGAAAGUGUGAAGAUAACAACUCAUCUUGAUGGUCCCCUCUUUUGGUGUAGUAUUUGUUAUUGUGACAGUUCAAUUCAAAUUUACUCUUUGUAGGAGGUAGUAGUUUUGGUUGUACAGAAAAUGCUGGAGCUGCUGGAACGCUGUAUGAUGUUAUUUCAGAGAGCUUAUCUAUCGACAACCACAAUAAGACAACAUAUACAGACACUCUUCUCUUGGAGUUCCCUAACCAUCGCCUUUUCACUAAUUUGUAUAUCCGAAAUCUGGCAAAGGUUGCUGUUCCCUUGCGCUGGAGCCGUGUCCAGGUUUGUGAAAGUAGAUAUAGAUUCUUGAUACUGUAAGCAUCAUCUUUUGUAUUUAUGUAGAAGUUAUGUUUGUGAUGAUGUUCUCAUUUGAACGAGUCUUGUCUCUCUAUCUUGUUCUUCUCUGGCAGAAAUAUCCGAAUUGAUGAGGUUGAACCUUUUAAGAAUAUUGUUGUAGGUCCUGAGGAAAUUAUACGUUUUCCUGGUUUUACAGGUUCAAGGAUUGAUAAGUUUGUCAAAUGGUGGAGAGUUGAACUUUGGCCUUCCACGUUUUGCUUCUUCUGAGUUUGAAUUAUUUGCUGAAGAACUCUUGAUGAGUAAUUCUGCUAUCAAGGUACCCCAUUUAUUUUGGAAAGAUGUUUUUUUCUUCCUUCUACAUUACUAUGUUAACCUCUGUGAUAUGUAUCAGGUUUAUGGGGCUUUACGUAUGACGGUAAAGGUGUUUUUGAUGUUGAAGUCAAGAAUGUUUAUAGAUGGCGGUGGUGUGACAAUAUUGGGAACUUCGAUGCUCGAAAUUAGUAAUCUGUUGGUGCUCAAGGUAUUCUAAUCAAAUGUUUUACAAUUUAUUUAUUUGUCGUGCUGCUGAAUCAUAGACAACUUUGAUGUUUAUUCAAUGCUCGUUUCUUUUUUUAGGAGUCCUCUGUGAUACAAUCCAAUGGAAACCUCGGAGUACAUGGCCAGGGUCUGUUGAAUCUAACUGGCACAGGGGAUACAAUUGAAGCACAGCGUCUAAUUUUGUCUCUUUUUUAUAGCAUUCAGGUAAGAAAAAUAAAUUACAUCAUGUUCUUUUGCCUUUUGUAUGUGGAGGUUGAGAAAGUUGUGGUUCUACUUGGUGUCAAUUGGUGUACAGGGCUAAAUAUUUCAUUUGUAUGUUGGAUUAAGAGUUUUGAUUUCCCCACUAUCUUUAAGAGGGAAAAACUAGAGCUCUUUUGUAUAUUCAGGACAUAUGAGUUUAGACAUAAGUGAGAACCAGUACGAAGACAGAAGGCAUUCCUGGCUAACCGUUAUUUCUAUGAUUCGUGAAGGUUGGAGUCGGAGCGGCUUUGCGUGGUCCUUUGCAGAAUGCAUCAACUGGUGGCCUGUAAGUUCUGAAGGUUCGAGCGAUCCUUCCACAAAAGUAUUUCUCCUGUUAUUUUCUUGUUUUGUUGUACUGAGCCUCUAAAAUUUUAUGGUUGGUUUAUUCAAAGUACUCCAAAGCUUUACUGUCAACGCCAAGAUUGCCCUGUUGAACUACUCCACCCGCCGGAGGAUUGCAAUGUCAAUUCAUCCCUUCCAUUCACUCUUCAGGUGCUUGUUUACGGAAAUAAUAAUUACAAAAGAAGGUGUUUGCCUGUUCUAACUGGUCUCUGUUGCAGAUCUGCCGAGUUGAGGAUAUUACUGUUGAAGGUCUCAUCAAAGGAUCUGUAAUCCAAUUCCAUCUGGCAAGAACUGUAAUUGUCCGCUCUUCUGGAACAAUAUCCGCAGACGGGAUGGGUAAGCCACAUACUUAUUUAAGAUGGUGCUCUUUAUAGUUCACUUUCUGUUUUUCAUAUUUUUAAUUUGAACCAACUUUUAAGAGAGUUAAUUAUGCACACAGGCUGCAAAGGUGGAGUUGGGGCUGGUAGGUUUCUAAGAAGCGGUAUUGGGAGUGGUGGUGGACAUGGUGGCAAAGGCGGAAACGGGUGUUACAAUCAUACUUGCAUCGAAGGUGGCGAUUCUUAUGGAAAUGCAGACCUACCAUGUGAACUUGGCAGCGGAAGUGGAAAUGAAGAGUCAACAGAUUCAGUUGCUGGUGGAGGAAUCGUUGGUAAGACAUGUUAAUCAUUUGGUAGUUCAUAUUUUUCAACUUUUAGAUAGUAUCAACUUAGUCCUCGUUCUACCAUGAUUAAUUUUGAAACUCUAAAAUGAGAAAAAUGAAGUAAUUCAUUGACCUAAUUUAAAGGUUACUAUUUCUCAUCUGGUCUCAGCAUCUGCACUGUCUCUUUAUAAAAGUGACUGGUUCACUUCGACUUGUUUCCUACCCCCAAUAUACUAACUGUUUCUGAAAUGUAUCGCUUCCAAAUAAUAUGGUUCUACAAAUUUGUGUAGUGUUUAGUUCACUUUGACCUGUUUCCUGCAAUAACCAACUGUCUCUAAAAUGUAACUCUUCCUGAUAAUUUCUUUUAUACCAAUUUGUGAAGUGAUCGGUUCACUUGAGCACCCACUUUCAAGCUUGUCACUGGAAGGCUCAAUAACAACUGACGGUGAAAGUCCCAGGAAGACAUUGAAAGGCCUAAGUAAUUCAAGUAUAGGACCCGGUGGUGGUUCAGGUGGAACCGUGCUUUUAUUCUUGCGCGCACUUGAGAUAGGGAGGUCUGCGAUGCUCUCUAGUAUUGGAGGAAAUGGAAGCUUAAAGGGAGGUGGUGGAGGAAGUGGUGGAAGGAUUCAUUUUCAUUGGUCAGACAUUCCCACUGGUGAUGUCUAUCAUCCCGUUGCCAAAGUAAAGGGAAGAAUUUAUGUAAGGUUUGUUAUAAGAAGUUCAUACGCAACAACGUUAUAAUUAUGAUAACGUAUUUGCGAUUUUCAUUUUGGAGAAACAGUUCAUUCUAUUAUUAGCUACUAUAAGGACUCUAGUUUCUCUUCUUAAUGUGUUUCUAGGACUUAACAUGUGAUUUCAAUAAUGAUUUACAGAGGAGGGAUGGGUAUCAUUGAAGAUAACUUUGGAGAGAAUGGAACUUUGACUGGCAAAGCUUGUCCAGAAGGGCUCUAUGGUUUAUUUUGCGAGGUAGUGUUGGACUUCUUUAUGUGUUAUUGUUUCUCUGCAUCAAAACAUUUUUUUAUGGUUUGUUAUAGUUUUCCUGUACUCUCUACUAGAUUUGAGUGAAAUGGUUUCAGCUAAUGUUAUAUUCUCUAUACCAACCAAACAAUAGCAAGUAUAUUAAAUACAUAAUGUCAGACCUGCUUAGGCUAGAGUUGUUUAGUGUCCUUUUUAUUAUCUGUUGAUAUAAGGGUAGUUCACUAUUUAUUACAAUAAUGAAGUUUACCCUCCUUGUGAGCUAUAUGUUGGGCCGUGACAUAUAGCUCUUCAACUCCAUUAGCGUAGCACAGCUUUAAAUGUCGACCAAAAAAUUAAAAAACUUGCUUCACCGAUCUACAUGUUUAAUUUUUCUACAGGAAUGUCCAUCUGGCACUUAUAAGAAUGUUACUGGUUCUGAUAAAUCUCUUUGUCAUCUUUGUCCGGCUAAUGAUCUUCCCCAUCGUGCUGUAUAUGUCACUGUUCGAGGUACUUUUUUAUUUGGAACAUUGAUCAGUUUAUUGAGGGAUAGUGAUUUCCGGUGCAAUGUGUUUGCCCUGUCUUUAUUUAUAUUCUCUUGUAUCUGAUACACAAAAUUUCUGUGUUUGACUUCUUGACAGGCGGUGUUGCAGAAACUCCUUGUCCAUAUAAAUGCAUUUCGGAUAGAUAUCACAUGCCACACUGUUACACUACGCUUGAAGAGUUAAUAUACACAUUUGGUGGACCCUGGUUGUUUGGUGUUCUUUUAGUAGUUGUGCUCCUCCUACUAGCACUUGUUUUCAGCGUGGCCCGGAUGAAAUUUGUUAGCGGUGACGAUUUACAUGGGUCUGCCCCGACCCAGCAUGGCUCUCAGAUUGAUCACUCAUUUCCAUUCCUCGAGUCCUUGAACGAGGUGUGCUUAAUCUCUAACUUUUAUCUGAGUCUGGAUGAAAUUUUUUGAAGGGAGAAAUCAUGUGAGUGGAACAUAACAAUAGAUUCCAGGGUUUAUUGCUGCUACUAGAUGGUUCUCCUAUUGACAAAUAAAUCUGAAAUAUUUCGUUGGAACUCGUAAGAAAGAAAGAGAAAUUUUGAAAUAGAUCGCGAAAACAUGAUUAUAAUCAGUGUUUGCUAUUUUAGUUGUUAAGGUGCUCCUCUUAUAGUUAAUGUCUGUGUUGUAACAUUAAUUUUGUGUUUAAUUUAACAGGUGAUGGAGACGAGCAGAGUGGAGGAAUCACAGGGUCACAUGCAUAGGAUCUAUUUCUUAGGUCCUAAUACUUUCAGUGAACCUUGGCAUCUGUCUCAUACACCCCCAGAGGAAAUAAAAGAGAUUGUGUAAGUUUGUUAUUAGCUGUUGAUUUUUUACCUUUCAGUGAUAAUUUGUUUAUGCAUGCCUGAAGAGAUACUUAGUUUUUAGCCUCUCCUAAUUUUAAUUUUCUCUAGGUACGAGGCUGCGUUUAAUGGGUUUGUUGAUGAGGUCAAUGCUAUAGCUGCAUACCAGUGGUGGGAGGGUGCGAUUUACAUUAUGCUUUCAGUUCUUGUCUAUCCUCUAGCAUGGUCAUGGCAGCAAUCACGCCGAAGGAUGAAAUUUCAGAAACUCCGUGACUUUGUCCGAUCAGAAUAUGACCAUUCUUGUCUACGUUCUUGUCGUUCGAGGGCAUUAUAUGAAGGGCUAAAGGUACAUAUUCAUAUAUUGAGCGAUACACUCUACUGACUACCUUUAGAACAUUGUAAAUAUUAGCAAAGAUAGAGAUAAGGCCAAUCAUAGUUUCUGAAUUGGUGGAGCAGUCAUCAUAGUUCUAAUAGGAUCUUAGUCAAGAGGUUGGAGCUUAUAUGUUCCUGAAACAAGGUUCCAUUUCAUUAUUUAAUGUUGGCAAAAAAAAGGAUUGCAGUAGAAAAAUCACUAAAAUUUGUAAUGUGCAGGUAGCUGCUACUCCUGAUUUGAUGUUAGCUCAUCUAGAUUUCUUUCUUGGUGGUGAUGAAAAGAGAAGCGAUCUUCCUCCUCCAGUUAAUCGAAGACUUCCGAUGCCUAUAAUAUUUGGAGGCGACGGAAGUUACAUGGCCUACUACUCACUCCAAAGUGACGAUAUUCUGACUAGUCUUCUGAGCCAGGUUCGUGUUUUUAUUUCAUAGACUGAUCUAUGUGGUGUGGUCUUUUACUUGCUUCACCUGUAUGGAUUUCUGUCAUUGGCUGCACUAUCAUAAUAAAUUUAUCCCCUUUUUAUAGUUGGUCCCACCAACCACUUGGUACCGCUUUGUUGCUGGUCUGAACGCUCAGCUGCGUCUGGUUCAGCAAGGGAAAUUGAGGUCUACGUUUCGCUCUGUUAUGAGAUGGAUUGAAACUCAUGGAAACCCUGCUUUGAAAAGACACGGUGUACGCGUCGACCUAGCUAGGUUUCAGGGAUUGUCUUCGUCGUCUUGCCAGUAUGGGAUUCUUGUUCACACCAUUGUAGAUGAAGUGACAUCAACAAGAAGUAUUGAUGAAACAGAACAGCAGCAUCCAUGGUAAGAAAUUUCACUUCGAUUCUCUCUGCUGUUUAUUUGCGAAGCACAUUACUCGAAAGAUCCAGACGCUCUGUAAUUUUUGAAAAUGCAGGGGGACACAAAUUGAAAACUCCUCUGGUGAUUUUAGGGAGAAUUUUCAUAGUAUUCAACCUCUAAGAAGCGAAAUCAACCAUGUGAGGCAUCGAGAGUGUGGAGAAAUUAUAGACAUUGGAAGCUUACAAUUUCUCAAAGAAGAAAAAGAUGUCCUUUCCCUCAUCUCCUUCUUGAUUCAUAACACAAAACCUGUUGGCCAUCAGGUAAAGCCUCCUGCAACUUCAUCUUUGCUUCAAGCAUGUUUUCCUUUUUUUCCUCUUUACUGCUGAGUAUUGAAAUCUGUACUUUUCUGCGGUGUUAACAGGAUCUGGUUGGUUUGGUUAUCUCGGUGCUACUCCUAGGAGAUCUAACUCUAAUGUUACUCACGCUGCUCCAACUCUACUCUAUAUCUUUGCUGGAUGUUUUUCUAGCUAUGUUUAUUUUACCUCUCAGCAUCAUUUUCACAUUCCCUGCCGGUGUCAGCGCUUUGUUUAGCCACGGACCACGACGCUCUGCUAGUCGCACACGCGUUUAUGCACUGUGGAACGUCACAUCCCUGGUCAAUGUCGUAAGUAUUUAUCUUUUAAUGGAAAUGCUAAAUCUUAAAAUUCGCCUUCUCUAGUUUCUGCAGAUUCCUCUUACAUGAGUACAAAUCCUUUUGGGCCUGGUGGGGUUUUGCAGGUUGUUGCGUUUGUGUGUGGAUAUGUUCACUAUCAUGGCUCAUCAUCUGGGAAAAAAAUCCCGUAUCUCCAGCCAUGGAACAUUAGCAUGUGAGAGAAGAAAACAAACUUCACUUUAUGUUCAAACCAAACAACACAUUCCUUCUUGCAUCAGCUACUAAUUUCUAUUUCUUUUGCAGGGACGAGAAUGAAUGGUGGAUAUUCCCAGUCGCUUUGUUUCUGUGCAAAGUCUUGCAAUCCCAACUUGUAAACUGGCACGUUGCAAACCUCGAGAUACAAGAUUACUCCUUGUACAGUGAUGACUCCGACCUGUUCUGGCAGUCGUGAGACACAACCCAAACCAUAAUUUAUACAAAAAAAAGGUGGAGGGAGCUCGUUUUUUUAAAAGGCGUCUUCUGGUUUGUGCACAAGCUGAUUCAAAGAUUUUUCAGGUGAAUAUAGCUAACUCUUAGAAAAGUAGGAAAAGUAAAAGAAUAAUCCUGAGAACACGCUUUUAUUUUGUUCCCACGCCAAGAUCCAUCUUGUGUUCUUUUUGGUAACAUUGAUGGAUGAUCCGCACUGGAAUGUUUGAUUUGCGGUUUAAAUGAUGAAUGUCUUCACUACAAAGAUACUCUGUUAUUAGUUUGGUGAUUGUCUUGUUGUCUCUCUUCUUCGUACAUUAAUCAUCAUUAUAUUUAGCACAUGGUUUGAGAUUAGGUAUGUCAUGAACUUGGAUGUAACCUAGUAAUUGUUCGGUUAUUACCCGAUCGGCCGAGUUCAAAACGACCAGGACUAUCACAACCACCGUAUUCAAAAUGGAAUUUAGUUGCCAUAUAGAAAGGUUUUGGUACUGAGUUAGAAACUUGGAAUGUUGUAGGGUAUAUAUAGCCUGUGUGAGACUUCACAAUUCUUAUAGGAUCAGUAAGGGUCAAGACACUGAAAUACUACAUCUUAUUACAAUCUGCCAAGCCUCCUCAGAUUUUACUAAGAGAGUGUUUAGACCACAAAGCCUUACAAGUCAAGGCCUAAUCACCAUUGACCAAUCAGUUUUUUAAGCUUAUAAAAUCUAUCACCUGGUUUCUACUUGAAACAAAAACAAACUCAAGAUUAGCUAGACGAGAGAUUGACACAACAAAUGUUGCACAUCUUGGCCAUUAAUUUCAGAAACCAAUAGAAUGAGAAUCGGAUCUGACAGUGAAUCUCUCCAGCCAAACAACUCCAAGAAGCUGCACAUGAAAGACACAUAUACCACAAAGAAAAUCAAUGCGCAAUCAUCUUUCCAUAACGAGAUUCUAUCUUAACAAAUAAGAUAAGAUCAUAAGCAGGUAACAAUGAUUCCUCCUCUAUGGAUAAGAGUAGAGUACCUGAAAAGUUACUCUUUGUUUAGUAUUUUAGGAACUUUUAAAUAUGCCUCCUCAAAGCUUGGAAUGGAAGCUCUUAUACUGUCCCUGUUUAUCAAAACACUCAAGUUUAGUAGAUGGGUUUCCAUCUUAAAACCGGAAUCAUUCUACUAUACCAUACUGAAAAAACUGUAUAAGAGCAAACCUGUUCUCAAAUGUUUCAGGAGAAUCCUCUCGCAAAUUUCCACCAUCCAUUUCUACAAGUUUUUAACAGAUCAAGCAAGUAUCAAGAUACUGAAAUAGGCAGUUCAGUUUCCUGAUAGCCAAACGGAUCAACAAUGAUAACUAGACACCUUAUAACAGUAAAAACAUAUGCCUCCUCAGAUUUGACCAAGAGAAUGUGUUUAGACUACAAAGACUUGCAAAGUCAAGGCCUAAUACCAACCAGCUUUAGCUUAAAAAGAUCUGUCACAUGAGUCUACUUAAACCAGACACACACUCAUGAUUUGCCGCCAUUUGUGAGAUAGGCAUAAACAAACUUUACUUACAACUAGAUUUGCCAAAAAGCUAUGAUACACAAACCAACUCUAUGAGAAAGUAGAGCAAUCUAUGAAUCUUCUUCUUUUCAUAGUUUCCACUCUUACAUAAUAAAUUGAUGGAAGCAUAUGAUUCUGACCUGCUCUGAUCGCUGGUUCCACACUGUUAACAUCAACUUGUUGAAGCUGGCCGAACCUGCAUUUGUCACCACCAAUCAACAACAAUUUUUUUUUAAAUAUAUUCAAAGACAUAAUCAUGGAAAUUGUAGAAGAGGGUUAGGUUACUUACCAGUCAAUGACUCGACGAAUUUUAGUUUCACAUUCCUCUAUCUGAAAACAAUAAACAUAAAGAAGAUCAAAGGAAAGAAGAGGAACAAUGUGAGAACUCAAUUCGACAAUUAGUACCUCGGCCGGAGUUAGAGAGAUGCGAGCUGUCUCUGCCAGACGGGAAACGUCCGGCGGCUGAAGAAGGGAGGAAUCCGUGUCAGAGGAGUAACUUCGAGCUAUUCUGUGGAUUUUUCUACUGUGUUGUUGGAAAUUGAGACUUAAAGAAGAAACUGAAGAUUGGAUUUUGAUCCUGCUCGAUGAGAUGAAGCAGCGACUCGGAGACGCAGAUAUAACGGCGAGCAAAGCUCUGGUUGCCAUGUCUAAGUUGAAUCCUCUCUCUCUUAUCUCUCAAGCCCGCCGUGCUGGAUGGAUACGAGCAUUGAACAGAGAUAUUUGCUAAAGCUGUGCCGUUUCUAAAGACUAACUAAACCGGUUUUAACCGGUCCACUUACAAAUAGCAUGAUUUUUGCUUUGCAGAUUUCCAGUCAAUCACUUCAUCUUAGAUGAAAUAACCGGUGACGACAAAAAAAACAUAAAAAAAUAAAAAUAAAAAUGAAAUAACCGGUUUUCUUGUUGGUAAUUAACUAAUUAACGAAAUGACUCCAAACUCAAACAAAAAAUUAGGUUAAAGUGUAUUUUAUACAAACAAAAUAAAAAAAAUCGAACACACGUUGAAUUAUAAAUUACCAGCACGAAAACCAUCUUCUUCUUUACUUUUGCAAUCAGCGCUCAAAACAGUGGAUGAAAAAAGAAAAGAGAACAAUCUUUUCUUUACCAGUCUAUUUUUGGUUUAAAAAACAGAGAAUUAAGGUCGUACAAACUCAGGCACACAAAUAACAUAUUGAGCUUCAAACUGGCGUUAACACUCAUCGAGAAAAGCACGUCCGAGAUUGGUUGCUAGAGCAAGUCUCACAGAACCCACAGCUUGAGUAGACAAAUCAGAUUCUAUGAAGCCUGGUCUUAAUCUUGCAACUGAUAGCUCUUGUAAUUUGUUCAACAUCAGGUUAGUCUGUGUUACAUUCAACAGCGACUGUUCUGGCCAAUUCAACAGCUUUAACUGCACACACAAAAACUCUUUUUAAGUUGCACAUUCUCCUUGUUAGAAAAUCAUAAAAGGAAAGAAAAUAAGGCUUGGUUUCGUUACUGAAUCAUGCAGAAGAGGAAGCCAGAAUCGUUGAGGAGUAGAAGGGCUCUUCAUUAGCUGCAGUAAUUCAAAUGGCAUUAGUUUCCAAUUACUCAGAGGAGAAAAAUGUGUAUGAGAGAAUGUUGUACUACACACCGAUACAAGUCUCUCCACGGCUUCAUGGGCUGCAUCUAUACUUUUUCCAUCAUGGACUAGCUUCAGUGAUCUCUUGAAGUAUCUAUACCUGGAAUGUAUAGCAUCCAUGAUAAAUUAAUAAUGCUGGGGCAGAGUUUUACAAAAAACAAGUCAUUUGCAAAGCCAAAGAGAGAGAGAGAUGAUUAAUACUUGUGAAGAAAAUCGAGACCACCAGAGAUCUGUGAUUCCGAGCCUAGCAACUCAACCAGGCCUUCCCAUUGCUGCAUGUAUGAAAUGAAAUAACAUCAUCUAGUGCACAGGUAGAACCGACACGGAUGUUAUAAACAGAAAUUUGCUUUGAGUAUGGCUUAUAGAAAAUAUACCUUGAGACUUUCAUCAGACAAUGACUUUCCAACAGAAUCAAAGAGCUGUUGAGAAAUCACGCUGAGACAAUGUUCGUCCCGGGCUUGUUGGAGCCAAAAGAUUCCAGACCCUUUCCUUCCAUGUUUCCAGUGAUGCACUCCAGAAAUCUAAACACCAUAACUUACUUUAGAAGAAAUCUUUUUUGAGAUUAGAUAACACGUGUAGAAAAGUCCCUCAAUUUAUCAAUACCUUCAUAAGUUUAGCGCUGACAUUACUGAGUUCAUAUAGACGGCAAAUUUCUAGGCUCUGCAACAAGAGAAACAUAAGUUAAGGCUUCAGACAAGAUCCUAGAAUUUUAAAGUACAAAACAGAACUAGAAAUUGAUGUACAAAUGAAAUAAAAAAAAAAAACCUUAAUAAGCAACUGAUUGUCUUGAACAGGCUGUCUGUAGAACAACAACUCUAAUAAGCCUAAUCCCUGUUUCUCGCACGAUGCUAGAUAAAUAGGAGCUAUCUGCAAAAAUUCAAACAGAAAAAAGGAAGACUUUAAUAUAACAAGUGUAAUAAGAACGAAACGGAUUCGAUUACAGGAAUUACUUCAUAAGUCAUAAAAGUACCUGCCACGUUAAAGCAUGAGAAGAAAGAACUUGAGCAUAAACAAGUCUGUGGAGCUCUUCCAUAUUGAUUCCACCCAACCUUCGCUGCUCCUCAUGUACAAGAACUUCUCCUUCAUCGCUUCCAGCUGUUAAUAAUUCCAUGGAAUGUGCAACCAUCCUAACAAUAAACACGAAUAGUAUCGUCCUGAUUCUUAUAGAUAACAUACUUAAUGAAGUUAGAAACACGAAACAAAGACCGUCUGCCUACCAGGAGCCAAAUCCUUUGGAACACUCUGCCAGAACAACCUGCAUAAUUUAAAUACACCAUGCUGGAUAAGAAAGUGGCGAGCUGUAACAGUUGCACCUUUGACUGGGUUUAAGAUGUACAACUGACCUCAGUAUUUUCUCCAAGAAUUCCAAUAAGCAGUCUUAGAAGCUUAUGGGAAGUGCUAACUGGCUUUGACUGCAUACAUUUCAGGGCUAGGCUAUGCAUGCUGUCUAAUCCCUGCAAUGCAAAAUGGUACUGAUUAAGUUUUCAAGUUUCCUCUUUGAAUAAUAGAGAUCUGAGUAAAAAAUACACAGCUCAAAUAUAAAUAGACAAACAGCAGGUAAAGCAAUUAACCUUUGUGAAUGGCCUGAGAUAUAGAAGAUGUGAAACAAAAAGCUCCACCCAAUUACAUGUUGCAGCUGUGAGGCAAUCAGCAUUUCCUAUCAUGAUCUUCAGCAUAUUUCUCAAGCCCUCACGGGUCUGAUGGUGAGCACAUUGAACCCAGAAGGCACUGCACUCUAGUUUAGAUAUCUGAGACUGCCAUCUUUCUCGUGUCUGGCAGAAAGGGCAAGAUGAGUCUAGACACAUAAUUUUUUUUUGAGAAGAUGAGUCUAGUCUAGACACAUAAUAAAAUACACUAAAACAGAGUUAGAAUAAUACACCUUUCCAACAUACCUUCAUAAAGUCAGGCUUUGCUGAAAAGGAUUCACCAAACUUCCCAUCUUCUAGUUUUGGACGCAUUCGUGGCAUUUUUGAAAUGAGGACAGCAAUGGCUUCUACCAGACCAUUUUCUGUCUACUUCAUCAAGUUUGUAUUACAUUAUGAAUAAUGAGAAAUCUGACCAUAUAAAAAAAGAACUAGCACGUAGCUAGUCACUCCAUAUGACAUAAAUCUCAAACAUGAAUUACUUCAAUCUAACCUCACGACUUCCCAGCUGGUCUAGUUGAUAAGAACCAUGUAAGUGUAACAAUUUCACCUGAAUAUAAAAAUUAUGGGUGGAAUAUUUCUCAAAUUGCAACUUUCAAGAUCAAAUUACAAAGAACCUCCAAUCCCCAAAAAAAUGUACUCACCACUAUUUCUAGCCAACCAACUGAUAAAGCAGCUGACAUCACUUCCCAGUAUCUUGGAUCAUCCUCAAUGGCCUGCAAAGGCACAUAACCGAAUUAAGAAAUUUCAGUUCUUCAGUCACUUAUUUUCUGAGAAAACUACCAUAUCUUCUACCGACUUCUUAGAGAGGAGCAAACCUGUAGGCCAACAAGUUCCUUUUGGAAAUCCUGGAGCUUCGAGUAGAUUGUUGGAUGUGAGCUUGAAAGGAGUAUAUCGUAGUCCUGCCAUGAUAUAAAUGGUAGGUCAAAAACUCUAGAAGUUCAAAUUUAAGAUAGCUUAAGUAUUGGGGGAAGAAACUAAUUACAGAUAGCCAAUCAACGAGCCGUUCAGGCAACCAAGACAGACAUGUCUUAUCUGCAUAGAAUAAUUCCAUCAACUCCCACGCAGCUUUUAACGAAGUUGGUUCCUCAGCAUUCUGCAUAUGUAUGUUAAUGGGAAAAUCCAUUAACAAAACUCCCACAGUCAAAGCUAUAACUCACUCGUGGAAGAGUUCAAUUGUCAUAAGAAAGAAAAGCUUGAUUACAAUACAGCACAGUAAACCUAACCAAUGUCAAACCAGAAAGACCUACAUACCUUUAUAACUGAUUUUGGGUCUUCAAUCAGAGGAGAGGGGGAAGAUAUUGUAUUACUAAGGAGAGAUUUAAUAUCCUUGCUGUAUUCCAUUACGUAUUCCCACCUGAUACAAUUAUGACAGUCCAGAAUGCUCAAACACACUUUAGAAGUCUAAUCAAAAGAAUGAAAUUUCAAUUGACAAAGCUAUGACAGAGUAAUCAUUCAGAUGCAACAAUAAGCCACAAGAGCAGAUCAGUAUUCUAAGAAUUUGAGAAUUAGGAAUAAUGAGUGUCCUCACCAGGCAUUCUGGUACAAAGAAGAGCUCAUAUCCAUCUUAGACAAACUUGAAAUUGAGUUUCUCCUGCUCUGCAAAAGCGCAAACGGAGAAACCGAUCCAUAAGCGAUCCUUCGCCGCUGUGCGUCACUGAUUUCGCUAUCCUCGCCGCUAAGACUCACGUUUACGACCUUACCACCAGCUUCUCCGUCAUCAUCGCGUAAGUCCGGAUUCCUUAAAACCGUGACGCGUAGGUUGUUUCCGCAACCCCAAGAGAUGGAGAGCCUAUGAACCGGAGACUUCAGGCCGUAGCUUAGAGGAUACAAUACCGGAGCUUUUUCCUUCGUCGAAAAGGGAACCAAUUCUCCACCGCCGUAUUCCGAAGUCAUACCCGGCAUUCGGAGCUCCGAUUGUAGAAAUGGCCGUUAGGGUUUUAGAUUGGGGUUUUUCAGCUUUCAGGAGGGAGAAGAACUGAACUGAACUGACCAGACCAGAAAUAAAAAAAAAAAUAAAUAAAUAAAGAACAGGGACGACAAUAAAAUGCACCGUAUUGUAGACAUAUAUUUGUAGUAAUUAGAUUAAUAGCUACAUACUUUUAAAAACUUUCUAAUUGGACCUUGUAUGUUGUCAGAAUGUACAUUUAGCACCAAAAACAACCCGUCGUUUUUUUAUCAGAAAAAUGAACAUCUUGACGUUUAUGGUUUACUAGAGCUACUCUUAUCUCUCUUCUUUAUCGUGGUGAUGGCCUUGGAUUAUUAAGGCUUCCCUUUGGUCCUCUGUCGCCGAGGAGAAUCUCCAGAAGCGUACCAUGUGGCCUUCGUCUGGAAACUCUUCGCAGCCUCAAGCUAUGGUAUUGAUUUAGCAUUGUCUCGUCUUUUUUUUGUUGAUAAUUUGUUCUUAGUUUUGUUGCUUCUCUUUUUUGUCAAAUUUCAUCUCGGGAUGUGGAAUUGAGACCAGUUUGAUAAAUAAAAAGAAGUAACGAGUGGAAUUAGUUGACGAGUGUGAUUAGAAAAUUUGAAAAUAAUCAAAUUAGAAGUUCUGGAUUAUAAUGUUCUUUUGACUUCUUUCUUCUUCUUUGAUAAGUUCAGUUAACUAAUUCCUCAAGGUGUAUGCCUCAAUGGAAGUUAAAAGAAAAAAAAAAAAAAAAGUUCAGUUAAGCUCAAAGAGUGAAAGGCUGAUUCUUUCUAAAUAUUUGACUUUGCUAUAAGUGCACUAGUGUUUGGCUUCGUAGUUUAAAGUGAUUAUAGGUCUUAUAUGUAUGUUCCAUGAUUGAUUGGCUAAUAAAAUCGUGUGAUUUGUGAUGUAACUAUGGAUGUUUGCUUCUCUUCUAAGUUCUUCUCACCCACCCCGACGAGAAUUUUUCAUGUUUUGUUUAUGAAAUGAAAUCUUACUGAGACUGAAAUUAAUUGAGCUGUAUCUACUUGGUUGUUUAGAUCAUGUACCCAAGUAUUCUUGUUGGAUAGUUGAAAAUGUAUUUUUGUGGGUGUUGUGAAUCUGAUCAGCGACAAGAGAAGAAGUCGAUAUCUGGGAGUUUUAGGGCAGAGAAUCUCAUACCAGGGGUUGUUAUAGGAUUCAUCAUAGGUAUGAUAUUGGAUUUGUCACAACAAGUGAGAUCCCCAGUGAAAAGGAGUAGACUUUUAUCCAGCAAGAUCCAGAAGCAGAGUUCUGCACCAGGCAAUGGCAGUGACCAAGAGCUGAAAAUGGUUUGUCUAUCAUCUAGUGUCACCAUAUUCUAUUUUUUUUGGCCCUAGAUUUUAUUGGUUUUGGCUUUUGAGAAAAGUAUUACAAAACCUAGUGAUAAUACAAGAUGAUUUCUAUUCCAAACCCAUCAAAUGUGAGCUUCAUAAAAGAAACUUGCAUAAUUUAUACAAGGAUGGUGAUAAGAUUUUAAUGAUGCAAGAUUUCUAAAUUAGAAGUUAAAAUCAGAGACUUUGUGGAACUAAUUUGGGCUUUCUGAUCACAGGUCUUGGUAGUUAGGCAAGACUUAAAGAUGAGAACAGGAAAAAUUGCAUCACAGUGUGCACGUAAGUGUCCUAUAAACUGAAUUUGAAGUUUGAACUCUGACAUUUUUUGUUUUGUAUGGAAAGGAAAAUGACUUUCAUUCUAAUGUUUGCAGAUGCUGCCACUGGCAUGUAUGCAGAGUUGAUGCAGAGGUAAACUUUUUUCUGUAUUGAGGUGUUUGCUUGGUAAAGAAAUAAAGAAUGUAUCAUUCCAAAGUUUAUUUUGUUUUACUAUACACUUAAUUCUUGCAGUGACCGAUACCUACUGAGGCGAUGGGAGGAAAACGGGCAACCAAAGAUAGUUGUAUCUUGUAAAAACCAGCAAGAAAUGUAAGCAGGAAAAACUCUUGGGAAAACAGACAAAACGUACAUCAAGAAAUAUGAUUACUUUACUUCUUAAUAAGCUAUCUUCAAUAGAUUUGUUGUAAGCUACAUUACUUUUUUUUACUGCUCUAAGGAAUAAGAUCACAGAGGCGGCUGAGAGCGUUGGCCUCCCGACUUUUGUUGUAGCUGAUGCUGGAAGAACAGAGGUAGUUUUCUACCCUCUCAUGUUUGAUUAAUUAUUGAGAGCAUGGUCCAAUCGUAGCUCCUCCUAUUGAAAUAAAAUCUUAAACUGUUUUUUUCACAGGUUGCAGCUGGAUCAAGAACAGUUCUUGCAGUUGGACCAGGUAGAGACAUGAGUUUCUUUAAACUUCUAUAUCUAGGUAGAGAAGAACAACAGAUGGUGUUCCUCAACAUGUUCAUGACUUUCGCUUGUGCAGGACCGAAGGAGUUGGUUGAUUCCAUAACUGGUAGGCUGGCUUUACUCUGAUUCGGAGCUUUUUCUUGGCGUAGUUCCUUUGGGAUUUUGAGCUCCCCAGGAUUAAAGUUAAUUCAGGCAAGACAGUGUUGUUGUGUAAUGAUUGAACAAGGUACAUGUCAGAUUUGUUGUUGGUUAGUUUAAUUGUAGUCGUUCUUGUACCGGUUACAGUAUUUGGAGUUGAAUUCAUGUAAAGUUUUCAUUUACGAUUCUGCACUAACAAGUUAUUAUUACCCUCCCAAAACCAAGAUUAACUAACAACCAGAAUUUGAUAGUCAAAAUUAGGGAAACAAUUUUUCAUUACUAAUAAAGGAAACAUCCUCAUAUAUUACUCUCGUUUCUCAAAAGCCAAUAUAUCGUCAUUUCAUUUAUUUUCUACUUUGUUCAUGUUGUUAUCUUUUUUUUUUUUGUGUGUGAACCAAUUCAUGUUGUUAUCUCUAUUCGUCAUUUCAAACAUAGAUCUAAUAUUUUCCAUGUCCUCCUGAUGUACAAUGAUGUUUAAGAGAAUCUAACAAUAUUUAUAAGUCCCUGUACCAACAUGUUCUGACACUACUCUCAUCAUUUUAAAAGCUUCCGGACACUAGUAGAAACGUUCAAACGUACUGUGACACUUUUUUCCACGUCGUACCACCCACCAGACUCAAUUUCUAGUACGUACAUAUGUCUGAGUGCUUCUUUUGCUAGAAAUGAUUCUGAUUAGUGUUUUUACUUACUUAUAUUGAUUUCGUUUGUAUGUUUGUAGCUAGCGUAUAUAGUCCUUCUCAUAUGUUUUAAGCUUUCUUUUCUUUCUUUUCUCCUUUUUUAUUCUUCUUUUAUACACAUAAAAUCAUAUAUACAUACUGAUACUGGUGACUUUGGAGAGGAUUUGCUUUUCAUACUUUCUUUGAGUGACGUCGAAGUCUUCCCCUAAAGUUCAGAACGCUAUACGUUGGACCGUUAUGAUUCCACAUUAUAAUUAUAUAAAUAUCUAUAUUGUACCACAUCACAUGGCAUACAGUAGACGCAACAUACUCACAUGACUCCAUAUUUUAGAUAUAUGUAUAUGCUUUUACGUAUUCUUUUCUUCCCUUUCCGGAUAUGAUAUUUAAACAACACAAAUAACAACGUAUAAUGUUUAUACACAAAUCAUCAAUAGUAUUAUAUUUAGUUAACACAGUUAACAAAUAAAAGAGGGUGAGAAAUCUCGAAAGAGUUUUGAUAUUGUAUCAUGUCAUUUACAGUGGAACGCAUAUAUAGGUUUUUGAUCUUUUGUAAACGAUCGAGUUUAAGCUUACCAUUUGGUAAAUUUGCAGAUCAAAGUGUCAAGUUGAAUGGAUCAGUGAUAAGAAUUGUUUAUGCAUAGACAAAAUCUAAUAUACAUAUAAACAUAAUACAUUUGGACAUUGGACAAUACAAGUACAGUCCGUGGACCUUUACAUAUAUCUAUCAAAGAUAAAAUAUUUAAUGUUAGUUAAGAAGAGGAAGAGGACCAUGCAUAUUUUGUUUAUAUUAUAGAUAGAUAUAUAUAUAAUAAGAAGACUAUAUACAUCAUAAAUUUCGCCCACUUGCUGGUUAGGUUUGCAUGAGAAUGCAUGUGACGAUCACCUCAAUCUAUGCUCCAUUUUUCUUUAUUUUAAUUCUAAAACAAUACUUUAUAUAUUAUGACUUUUGUGCUGUGCAAAUUUUGUAUUUGUCCCUUUUUUAUUAUACUAAACAUAUUUUAGAUUAAAGCAUCAGAUUUUCUCGAAUAUUGUCAGAACGCAAAACGUGAAUGAAGUUAAAAAAAAUUGGGGGGAAUAAUAAUUAAGUUCUGAUAAAAUUACAAUAACUGAUCUGUCAAAAUGAAGGAGCAUCCACCUUGGAUCCCGAUGUUUUGGGUGAAUAAGAACACUCUUUAAUUAAAUUUAGAUACAAUACAAUAUACAAACUAAUCCUGUCUGCAUAUUGAUAUAAAAUUUAACCUGAUCGAAAAGAUGAUAAUUACAGUACAUAUUUGAGUUUCUUACAUACAACGAAAUAUAACGUUUUCUUGUCAUAUAUUAUCAAAGUUCUGUUUCAAAUUGAAUUGGUUUAAUAUAGUUCCCUCGAACGAACACCGGAACCAAAUUAAUCACACACAUAAGAGAAAGGGGAAUAACAACUAUUUGGAAUUAUUCAUUUUGGGUUCUAGUUUGUUCAAUUAUUUUGAAAAGAGUGAUACUUUUACAUCAUGAUUAAUUAACUUGUAUCUACCCUGUCUACAAUUAUUUUUAUAACCUUUCUAAUUUAAAUUUAAAGAAGCAGAAGAGACGAAAACACAAAAGUUAUCAAAAUAUAUCAGUAGUAGUACUACUAGUCUGCAGAAGGCGAAAACGAAAAAAAGAAAACAAUUAAAAGAUGUUAAAAGAUAAAAAGAAAAGGAAAUUAAAAAAAAAAAUGCUAAAUCGGAAAAAGAAACAGAUUAUUGCGAAUUUAUCCACGUGGAAAUAGGAAGGUUAGAUUAAGCGUCUAAAAUUAGGAGCCACGUGGUUAUUAUUAUCAUGGAUUAAGAAAUCUUCACCGUUGGAUCUGAUAUCCAUCAUUAGAUUCUCACACCUUAGCUGACUCAUCACAUGCUCGUCUCUCAUCUCCUUCUGUCGCCGGAGCUCCAUCACUUUCCGGUGAGAGUUCGAGUGCCUCGCCAUCACGAACGUCGGACUCGAAGCCGGUCUAUACUCCGGCACCAGCCUCCCUGAUUUGUACCUCACUCCACACGCGUUGCAAAGCGUCUUCGGACCCAUCGGUCCCGUCCUCCACUGCGGCGUCUUCUCCGUCGCGCAGUGCAGACAACGACGCCCUCCUCCGCAGUCUACAUCCAUGUCUACGGCGGUGUCUUGCUCAUUGGCCACCCUUCGUUGUUUCUUCUUGGGGUUGGAUUCGUCGGAGGAGUCGGCUAAGGAUAGAAGGCGGGAAGCCCACGUGGAAGCUGCAGAGCGUGACCUCUUGCUUCUCGCUUUGGCAGGAACGGCGACGUUUGAUUCGUCGGUGUCGAUGAACUGGUCGAAAUCGGGUUCUGGCUCGGGUUUAAUUUGGUGGGUCUGGGUCGGGCCGAUGGUUUGAGGGUUUUUUAAACCGGAUAGUAAGUGAAGCUUGUCUUGGUCUUCUUCUGAGAAUGUUUCCUCCACAAUAUUGGAUAACCAUUCCAAUUCAGCUAAAUCUUCACUCUGAUUAAGUGAUAGUUAAAGAAUAAGAAGAAAAAAGUGUUAUUAGUUGAGAAAUAUAUACUUUAUAUAUAUUGCUUUGCUCUAUGCAUACCAAAUUCACAUUUCAUAUUUCACCAAAAAAAAUAAUAAUAAUCACAUUUCAUAUUAUAUGAUAGGGACAUAUUAACAAAUCCAUGAUACUUUGUUUUUUAAGAGUUAAAAAUCAAAUUGCAAAAAGAUGAGAUUUUUUAAUGGUGUGAAUUAGGAAAAAUACCGGAAUACAGAGGUCGCCGGAAAAGCCAGUGCUGCUGUCGACGAAAAACGAGGAGGAGGAGUUGGAGCUGUCGGCGAGAGUGACGGUGGAGGAAUCAGGAAGGAAAGUGUCAAAAGCGUCGUCAACUUGGCCGUCGUCGACUUGACCGUCGUCGUUAGAAAAGUCGAGGAGGUCGUCGACGACGAAAGAGUCAGUGUUACCGGCGACGAGGAAAAGCUCCGAAGCUAGCCGUUCCAUUAGGGGAAAAAAGCAGAGGAGGUGCAAAAAGGAAGAGACUUUUUUGGGGGGUGUGAGCGAAGAAUGUAGCGGAGAGAAGAAGAGAAGAGCAGGGGAGAGAGAGAGAAGGGUCUCUAUUUUUGGGGUUGUGUAAAGGAGAGUGAUGUUAGAGAAAGUUAUGGCUCAUGUGAGAGAUGAGAACGAGACAGAGGACUGCUAAAACAGAGGAACUUUGACUAUCAUCUAAAUAAUUUUUUUAAUGUUAUUUUAUUUAAAUUUACUAAAAUUACAAACAACAAUGUAUUACGUAUCUUAAGCGACAUUUGCUUCAAAACAAGGUUGAGAGGUGAAUCCCAAAAACAAUUCACUUCUAUUUUCUAACUUAAUAAUACUCUAAGCAUAUUUUCACUUCUUUUUUUUGGUCAAGCUCUUGAAUUCUGUAUUCCAUAUAUUUUUUAAAUCUUGAAUUUAGAACUUGUAAUCUUGAGUCUCUCUCUAUGUCCUUUACGUAAAAUCAAAGAAAUGACAAAAUAUCAGCUUAUUACAACUUCGAUACUAUGACGAUGAAUUUCGGAUACAGUUUGUAAAUACGUAAACACAGAAAUAGAGAAUAUGAAGAUGCUCGAACACAAAGAGAAUUUAAAUGAGCUUUGUUAUAUUGGAACUGAUAAGUAACUGAAAAACUUGGCAGUAGGGUAGUGGUACAUAACAUCAGCAUCACAACUUUAUCCUAGUGUCUAAACAAUACUAGUAUUAUAUGGAGGAGAUGCAAUAUUUUACAUAUGAAGAGGUAAACACACAUAUAGUAGUAGUAGUUUGAGUGGCACCAUGUUCAAAACUAAAGCCCAAUGGACUUAAACUUCAUAAUUACUCACUAAAAUAGAAAGCACAAUAAUCAAUUGUGGUCUAUACCAAAGCCCAAGUCAUAAAACAUCAAUCUAAAAAAAAAGCCCAUUUACAGCAAUGAGAAAAAAACCAAUUAUACAAUUUGAUUUGAUAGUAGUAAUCUUGAAACUUAACUUUUUUUUUUUUUUGCCAAGUUGUUCAGACACACAGCUUUGUGUCUGCAAAUGAUCAUAGUCAAUUAGUCAUCAUGUAUUUAAACCUUAUGUUUUUAUUUGGGGGAAACAAACUGAUAUAGGUAUUCUUCAGUUUUUGAACAAGUAGCAUGAUGCAUAUGUGUAAUGCAUAGCCAAUAAUGUAAUCCUACGUUUUCGAUUUUUAAUCAUCUUGAAAUAGUUUCUUUUUCUUUUUUUUUUGUCCGUCAACGAAAUGAAAGGUUUUCUAAAUAUGGAUA
rnacentral:lncRNA from 1 species